rnacentral:rRNA from 1 species
CUACGUGCCAGCAGCCGCGGUAAUACGUAGGUCCCGAGCGUUGUCCGGAUUUAUUGGGCGUAAAGCGAGCGCAGGCGGUUAGAUAAGUCUGAAGUUAAAGGCUGUGGCUUAACCAUAGUAUGCUUUGGAAACUGUUUAACUUGAGUGCAGAAGGGGAGAGUGGAAUUCCAUGUGUAGCGGUGAAAUGCGUAGAUAUAUGGAGGAACACCGGUGGCGAAAGCGGCUCUCUGGUCUGUAACUGACGCUGAGGCUCGAAAGCGUGGGGAGCAAACAGGAUUAGAUACCCUGGUAGUCCACGCCGUAAACGAUGAGUGCUAGGUGUUAGGCCCUUUCCGGGGCUUAGUGCCGCAGCUAACGCAUUAAGCACUCCGCCUGGGGAGUACGACCGCAAGGUUGAAACUCAAAGGAAUUGACGGGGGCCCGCACAAGCGGUGGAGCAUGUGGUUUAAUUCGACGCAACGCGAAGAACCUUACCAGGUCUUGACAU